CACGCAGUAAACGAUGAAUACUAGCUGUAUGCGAUAUACUGUAUGUGGCAAAGCGAAAGCGUUAAGUAUUCCACCUGGGGAGUACGUUCGCAAGAAUGAAACUCAAAGGAAUUGACGGGGGCCCGCACAAGCGGAGGAACAUGUGGUUUAAUUCGAUGAUACGCGAGGAACCUUACCCGGGCUUGAAAUGCAGACGACCGAAGUGGAAACACUUCUUCCAGCAAUGGCGUCUGUGUAGGUGC
rnacentral:rRNA from 1 species